CGGAAUUUGGCACAGCUC
rnacentral:misc_RNA from 1 species